UCUCUCUCUCUCUCACACACACUCACAGAACCAGUCACCACCAGACCUCACUUCACUGUAGUCGCUCACCACCGUUGCUUACCACAAGUUGUACAUUGUCACCGCCACUGCCGCAAUACAAACAAAUUCUCUCUUCUUUUUCUCUCUCUCUCUCUUUCUCUCUCUCUCUCUCUCUCUCUCUCUCUCUCUCUUCCUUUCCUUAUUUCUCCAUCAAUGUCUACACUACCUACACCCAAACAAAAGCCUACAGUCACUUGCUCUCCCUCUUCUCACAGACUCACCAUCCCUGCUAACAGUCACUGCCGCUAACCAUUGCCACUCUCGCUACCGUCGGUCACCAUCGCGGCUCCCCCCUGUCAUCCACAUUCAGUUCGGUGGUUACACUGGCUCUGAAGAUAUACAUAAACAUGCAAUCACAAGCCCCUGAUUUUUUUCUCAUUCUGUUGAUCAAGCUCAAACUGUAAGUCUCUUCAAUCUCUCCAUAUAUUCAUUCAUUUAGGGAUCAUAUCUAGUACUUUGAAUGAAUGGCUGAAAUGUACUGAUUUUAAUUUGUUUGUCUUCAUUGUCUAGUUUUAAUUUGAAAAAUUGAAUUCGUUUCACUUUCAAAUUCGUGCUCUUCUCGAGCAUAUUUAGAACAAGUUAUGAAGUUUUUUUGUAAUUUAUCUCAGAUUUUCUUUUGUAAUUUUCUUUUUUCAUUUGCUGUGAAAUUUAGGCUUUUUUUUUGGAUCGUUGCUAGAUUGAAAUAAAGGUGUUGUGAUUGGAGAAAAGAGAGAGAGAGAAGAUGACUGAGAGCACGAGGUUUCAACUCGGGAUCGUUGGCGUGCUGAGCCUAUUAGUGAUUUCAUCAGUUUCAAUUGUGAUCUGCAAUAAGGCCCUUAUUACCACAUUAGGUUUUAAUUUUGGAUAUAAAUUGCAGGCUCAAGAAUUCAUUGACACUACUGAUAUAGAUGCUUUGGUAGUAUGUAUUGGAAAUGUCCAUGGAAAAUACCCUGCAAGUGGCCCAAAUCUCAGACUUGAUUUGCUGAAGAUGGCUUUUGGCGUGGACUUGUGGAUACUCUUUUUUUGUGUAUAGAGGACAAUUUCGACUUUUGCAUAAUCCUGAUAAUUUUGUCAUCCUCCACUUUUGUGUGGAUUAUUAUUACUCGUACAUAUAUUUUUUGACAUCGACUUGAUAAUUACUGGCGUGGUAUAUAGAAUUCUUUUUGUCGUGGUACAGAUUAUGAAGUAUAUACAUUUUUUGUACAUAGAGGGCUUGAUUUUUGUAACUUUUGCAGUUAUGUUUUGAAUGGAAUUAUUAUUUUAGUUUGGACUAUAUAGUACAGGUUGGACUAUGGUUUGUAUGGAAUUUUGCAUUUACAGUUAUAUAUUUUUGGAU